rnacentral:rRNA from 1 species
UGGCGGCGUGCUUUACACAUGCAAGUCGAGCGAUGAGAUCCCUUCGGGGAAGGAUUAGCGGCGAACGGGUGAGGAACACGUGAGGAAUCUGCCUUCAACACUGGGAUAACUCCGGGAAACCGGGGCUAAUACCGGAUACGAGACCUGCAGGCAUCUGCGGGUCUGGAAAGUUUUUCGGUUGAAGAUGACCUCGCGGCCUAUCAGCUUGUUGGUGAGGUAAUGGCUCACCAAGGCGACGACGGGUAGCCGGCCUGAGAGGGCGACCGGCCACACUGGGACUGAGACACGGCCCAGACUCCUACGGGAGGCAGCAGUGGGGAAUAUUGGGCAAUGGAGGGAACUCUGACCCAGCGACGCCGCGUGCGGGAUGAAGGCCUUCGGGUUGUAAACCGCUUUCAGCAAGGAAGAAGCGAAAGUGACGGUACUUGCAGAAGAAGCACCGGCUAACUAUGUGCCAGCAGCCGCGGUAAUACAUAGGGUGCAAGCGUUGUCCGGAAUUAUUGGGCGUAAAGAGCUCGUAGGUGGUUCGUCACGUCGGAUGUGAAAAUCUGGGGCUUAACCCCAGACCUGCAUUCGAUACGGGCGAGCUAGAGUGUGGUAGGGGAGACUGGAAUUCCUGGUGUAGCGGUGGAAUGCGCAGAUAUCAGGAGGAACACCAAUGGCGAAGGCAGGUCUCUGGGCCAUUACUGACACUGAGGAGCGAAAGCGUGGGGAGCGAACAGGAUUAGAUACCCUGGUAGUCCACGCCGUAAACGGUGGGCACUAGUUGUGGGAACCUUCCACGGUUUCUGCGACGCAGCUAACGCAUUAAGUGCCCCG